UGGGGAAUUUUGGACAAUGGGCGCAAGCCUGAUCCAGCCAUGCCGCGUGCGGGAAGAAGGCCUUCGGGUUGUAAACCGCUUUUGUCAGGGAAGAAAUCUUCUGAGUUAAUACCUCGGGAGGAUGACGGUACCUGAAGAAUAAGCACCGGCUAACUACGUGCCAGCAGCCGCGGUAAUACGUAGGGUGCAAGCGUUAAUCGGAAUUACUGGGCGUAAAGCGUGCGCAGGCGGUUUUGUAAGACAGAGGUGAAAUCCCCGGGCUCAACCUGGGAACUGCCUUUGUGACUGCAAGGCUUGAGUGCGGCAGAGGGGGGAUGGAAUUCCGCGUGUAGCAGUGAAAUGCGUAGAUAUGCGGAGGAACACCGAUGGCGAAGGCAAUCCCCUGGGCCUGCACUGACGCUCAUGCACGAAAGCGUGGGGAGCAAACAGGAUUAGAUAGCCCUGGUAGUCCACGCCCUAAACGAUGUCAACUGGUUGUUGGGAAGGUUCCUUCUCAGUAACGUAGCUAACGCGUGAAGUUGACCGCCUGGGGAGUACGGCCGCAAGGUUGAAACUUAAAGGAAUUGACGGGGGU
rnacentral:rRNA from 1 species